AGAAAAAUAUGAAGAAUAUCUUGAGCUUCCUGGAUAAGAGUACGUUGUCCUUGUGGAUUUGCAAGACGUCAGAAAGCAUCGUGGAUCUGGUGAAGAUAUGAUGAUUUUGUUCUGUCAAAUCUUGAGAAAUGCUGGCUGCCCUGAGUUCAAGAUGAGUCCACAAUAUAACUCGUUGAACUUCUAUGCAAAGCUUACACCAGAUGAAGCUGAAAGGCUGUCUGAUCUGGAUUCCGUAUACACAGUGACCCCGAAUAUUAAGUGGCGUGUUUUCCAUGAAUGUGUGUACCACGAAGAUUAAGUGGCGUGUUUUCCAUGAAUGUUGUGAACCUCGCUGGUGCUGGUGAUGGUGAUGACCUCUUGUAUGAGGAGUUACCCAAACCAAUAUGGGUGUAAUAGUAUUACUACAAACUAGGAUAUCUGUGGUGUUGAUGAAUGUGUUCCUCUUAUCUUAUCCUAUUUUAUGUUAUGUUAAGCAACAGGAUUAUCAUAAAGAUGGAUAUGCUACUUAUUUUUUAUCAAUGUAGCUAAUUAUGUCAACUGCUUUGACCAACUUUGUACUUAUUUUUAUCAAUGUAGCUAAUUAUGUCAA